ACUGUUAGAUUCCCGCUUUCGUAUUACAUCGAAUCUAAAUUUAAAUUUGCCUCUCCCAUGAGAAUAGAUUUGAAACUAUUCAGCUAGAAUCCGAAUUAAAUAUUCAUUCAACUACGUGUGUGCAUCAAAAUUUCAUACUUCUACUAAAAAUCAAAUUCACCUUUUUAAUCGAAUAUUCUUCCAUGGUAAUUCUGUGUAUUAUUAGAAGUUGAUGUAAAACAGUCAGAGCGAUAACAGUGAGUAACGGGUAACACCUAAUAAAUAAUUGAAUUCCAAAUACUCCUUAUAGUGGAGACAUUGUGGCGAAUUUGGUGUUCAAUUUGAGAAAUACAGUGAAUAGGAAUUGCAAGACAAUGAAAGUGAAACAGAUAUUGAUUCCAACGGUGGAUCCAGUAGAUCAGAAGCUAGCCAAAUAUGCUCUGGAAUGUUUUCACCAAGAGAAACAAGAUGCUUUUUCAUUGUUUGAUCGCUUCAUAAUAUUGAAACAUAGUCCCUAAGAAGUUGUCCAGAACCAUUAAACUGCAAAAAAAAAAGAUGGAAACUCAGCAGGAGAGCAUUAUGUAUGCAACACCGAACCUAGAUCUGUACAACCUGUCUGAAAGUGCUACUUUGUUGGACGAGUCUGAGAAUUGCGAGACGAGCGAAGCGAGCAACAGACGAGUCCAAACAAGUAGUAUUUCAGCCGCGGCGUACACAACAUUUUUUAGACGACGCAUUAAGAACGGCCGCAUUGCUUUUUUCGGUGAGAUCAGGUGGCGUGGAUUCGAGUAACUCUUCAUCGCUGAUCAUCAUUUAUUGUUAUUCAUUAAUUUAGACAAAACUCCGGAUAUAAUUUCAGAAAAUUGAAAAUUUAAGGUUAUGCAAAAUCAUCGAAGUGAAACUGUCUACUCCAGAGCGUCCCGAAAGUGUUUUGCAGUAUGGAACUGUCACUUUCACUACAUGGAACACUCAAAACGCAACUUUCGGUAUGUAAAUGAAUACAGAACGAACAACUUUCAGAUGGCGUCGUCUAAAAGAGUAUUUUUAAACCCUCCGUUGCUCGCGCGGCGUCUACAAGACACCGGGGAACCUCCUUUUUCUGGUACCGGUAGAAAGCAAUUCAAUAGCGACUUCUCCCACUCUACAGCUUCCAAAUUUAGACUGAACAAUAUUCAGAACGAUUGGUCAUAGUUCAUGUACACACGUUGAACGCUUAGGAGCUAUAAUUUGAAAUCUAAGCCUCUUAGACGCUACGGGAGCGCUUCUGUUUCAAGACUGUCCAUAUUUUUAUUAAAUAUAUUUUAUUGUGAUCUAAUUGAGAUUUGUGUUUGUACAAAGGUGAGUUUUACAUAUUGGAUUUAUAAAGAUUUUUAAACCUCUUGAUGAAAAAGAUGCUGAGUUUUUGCAGAGGCUGGAAUUGGAAUCUAAUUAAAAAUGAUCAGACAGACAAACAAUAGCAGUAAAGGCGGAGAGGACUACUUAGAGAAAUAAAAAGAAAAUACUGACACAGAAUAGGAAGGUUCGAAUGGAGAUGAAGAGGAAAACCAAGAUGAUUUAGAAUAUCAUGCCAAGUUUGUAUUCGGAAGAGAUGGAACAACUAAAUGGAGGUUAGAUACCCCUGUUAGUCAUUUACCUGACUUUAAGGGCAUAGGGAAGCUAGCACAGUAUGUUUCCACAUGUUGGAGUAUGUUUUUUACUAUCAGUUACACCAAUAAGUAUAUUUGUAGUAAAAGAGAAUCGUUGAGCAGAGAAAUAGAUUGCAAAAAUACAAAUUUGGAGGAAAUGGAAGCUUUUAUAGGGCUUUUGUACAUGGUAGGAUUUCGUAGAAAUAGCAGAAUAAAUACUGAAGAUCUUUGGGCCACUAACGGUUCUGGUAUAGAACUUUUACGAAUGACUAUUCCACUCUCUUACAAAGUGUACGUUUUGACGAUAAAGACAUCAGAAAUGAGGAGAGUCAUUGACAAAAUUGCUCCUAUUUGGCAAAUAUUUGAGUUCUUUUAUUGUAAGUUGUCAGAAAAGCUAUUGCGUUGGUGAAUGGUUACAAUUGAUGCCUCGGCAUUUCGAGGCAAAUGUCCAUUUCGUCAAUAUAUACCAUCCAAGCCGUCUAAGUAUGGCAUAAAGAUCUUAUCCGUGGUGGAUGCAAGAACUUAUUACACUUACAACUUGAAAAUAUACGUGGGGAGACAGCCUGAUGGCCCUUACCAAGAUGAUAAUAGUGCAAGCUUCACAGUGAAUAGAUUGUGCUUACCAAUUUUUGGUUCUGCGGAAUGUCACCGAUGAUAACUGGUUUAUCAGUUAAGAACUAGUAACUGACCUCCAAAAAAAUCACAGACUUAGUUAUGCUGGAACCAUAAGAAAAAAUAAACGAGAACUUCUACUGAACUUUGUGGCAGGACGUGGUCGAAAUGAAUAUACAUCAAAGUUCGCUUUUCAAGAAACUUCGACAUUGUUUUAGUACAUUCUAAAAAAGAAUAAGAAUGUUAUUCUACUUUCUAGUAUGCAUCACGACUCGGACGUAGACCCUUGCAACAGGUAUAAAGAGAAAGCCAGGUAUCGUGUUAUUCUACAACCAAACGAAAUCGGGAGUUGAUGUCGUCGACAAAUUGUGUGCGAUGUCUCUAAGAAAACCAACCGUUGGCCAAUGACAGUAUUUUAUACAUUGUUAAACUUAACUAGUUAACGAAAGACUAUAUACAAUACAGGUCAAAAACAACUUGCUUGCCUAAAGAUUUGCGAAAAUGGACCAUUGAAAUAGCAGAAGAAGAAUACAGUACCAGUACCAGUAAAGUGGCCUGCAGGCUAAAAUGACAAAUAUUGAACUCAGGAAAUUCACAGAAGCGAUGCUACAUUUGUAAAAAGUAAAAAAAUCGCAUGACUCGAUACAAAUUCGUAGAAUGUAAUAAGUUCAUUUGCUUGGAACAUGCAAUAGUUAUUUUCCUAACAAGUCCAGAAAGUGAUACUUUCCCACACGCGACUGCAGUUCUCCCGAAGCGGUCAAGGGCGGGAAAGACACUUUACGCAUGAGUCAGGAACAUUAUUUUUUCUACGACCGUAUAUACAAAAAAGUAUACCAACCCAUUUUUCUAAAAUUAUUUUAUUCCAACAAACAUAAUAAUAUACAAAACUUUAACUAAAAACUACUAAUUAUUAUAAAUAUUAUUAUUAAAAACACAAUUUGUUAUAUUCUGUAGACUAGUAAGAAUUGCCGGUCCAGUUGAGUUUGGUUUCAACAGAAAGGUAGAUGACGUCAAUGAGGAUGGCAUAAAAAUGACGAUGACGGAGUCGGCAACGGUUUUAAGUCAUUUGGCAGGUAACAGCUCGGAAUUAGCUUCAUUUGCAGCCUUCAAAAUGGCUUCGGGAAGUUCUUCGUCGGAUGAAUCCAUAAAUUUUAUUGUAUCGGAUUCGGUUUAAUGUGGUUUAAUUUGAGGGAAUUGGAUGAAACGUGAGUCCAUCACUCCACACUCGAAACAAAAGAUUAAUCAAAACAUAGGACUGAAAGGGAGAACCGGUUCCAAAGAAAGCAAAGACCGUUUCAUCUACAGGCAAGAUCAUGACGUCGAGAAAUCAAGCAAAAAUGGCCGCAUUUGACUAAGAAGAAAGUGUUGUUCCAUCAAAGGUGCCAGCUCACAUAUCCUUAUUGUAAUGGCCUAAACACCCUCGGAUUAAUUUCUGUUCCUUGACUUAAGAAAAUGGCUCAGUAGUCAAGGAUUUGCCAGUCAUAAAGAGGAGAUAACGACAAUCAAUGAUUAUUCUGAGGAACUUGACAAUUCUUUUUAUAAAAAGGAUAUCAAAAUUACUGGGAAAAGAGUAAAGUGUAUGAAGCUAAGAGAAGCUAAGAGAAGACUAUGCUGAAAAACGAAUAUACUUUUUUACAAAUAUUUUGUUUGUUUCUUUAUUGUUCCAGGUACUUCUGGAACCGUCCUCCCAUCAUUUAAAAAUGAGCUUAACAUUAUCUCCUUAAAAUUUCAUGAAAAAAUAUCAAUGGGAAAUAAAGAC